rnacentral:misc_RNA from 1 species
GAAAUGCGAUAAGUAGUGUGAAUUGCAGAAUUCAGUGAAUCAUCGAAUCUUAGAACGCACAUUGCGCCCCUUGGUAUUCCAUGGGGCAUGCCUGUUCGAGCGUCAUUUGUACCCUCAAGCUCUGCUUGGUGUUGGGUGUUUGUCCCCGUCUCCGCGCGUGGACUCGCCCCAAAGUGAUUGGCAGCCGGCGUACUGGUCCCGGAGCGCAGCACAUGUCGCGCAAACGAGUGCCUUGGUACGGCGGCGUCCAUAAGCCCCUCUCUCACGCUCUUGACCUCGGAUCAGGUAGGGAUACCCGCUGAACUUAAGC